rnacentral:rRNA from 1 species
GCAAGUCUGGUGCCAGCAGCCGCGGUAAUUCCAGCUCCAAUAGCGUAUAUUAAAGUUGUUGCAGUUAAGAAGCUCGUAGUUGAACUUUGGGCCUGGGCGGACGGUCUACCUAUGGUAAGCACUGUUGCGGCCGGGUCUUUCCUUCUGGCUAGCCCUCGGGCGAACCAGGACGAUUACUUUGAGGAAAUUAGAGUGUUCAAAGCAGGCCUUUGCUCGGAUAUAUUAGCAUGGAAUAAUAGAAUAGGACGCAUGGUUCUAUUUUGUUGGUUUCUAGGACCAUCGUAAUGAUUAAUAGGGACGGUCAGGGGCAUCAGUAUUCAGUCGUCAGAGGUGAAAUUCUUGGAUUGACUGAAGACUAACUACUGCGAAAGCAUUGCCAA